rnacentral:pre_miRNA from 1 species
AAACAGCCCCCUAUGUUUUGAUUCUUUGGCAGUUUUGGACCCCCAGUCCAUUGUUGACUCGGUCAACGCUGACGUGACACCCUAAGUGAGGUGUCACGUGUCAAUUUUUUAUUUUUUUUGUCUUGGGGGUCCAAAACUGCCAAAGAAUCAAAACAUAGGGGGCUGUUU